rnacentral:lncRNA from 1 species
UUUUUUUUUUUUUUUUUUUUUUUUUUUUUUGUCUUUUUUGGGACCGCACCCAUGGCAUAGGCAGGUUCCCAGGCUAGGGGUUCAAUCAGAGCUGUAGCUGUCGGCCUACACCACAGCCACACCAAUGUGGGAUCUGAGCCUCCUCUGCAACCUACACCACAGCUUAUGGCAACGCCAGAUCCUUAACCCACUGAGCGAGGCCAGGGAUCAAACCAAUGUCCUCAUGGAUACUAGUCGGGUUCGUUAACCACUGAGUCACGUUGGGAACUCCCGCCAUCUAGAAAUUCUUUUUUUUUUUCUUUCUUUCUUUUUUUUUUUUUUUUUUUUUUUUUUUUUUUCUAGGGCUGCUCCCAUGGCAUAUGAAGUUCCCAGGCUAGGGGUCAAACUGGAGCUGCAGCUGCCAGCCUGCACCACGGCCACAGCCACACCAGAUCCAAAUUACAUCCGGGACCUACACCGCAGCUUGUGCAAUGCUGGAUCCUUCCCCCACUAAGUGAGGCCAGGGGUCAAACCCACAUCUUCACGGACACUGUGCUGGGUUCUUAACGCACUGAACCACAACGGGAACUCCAAAGCUAUUUUUAAAGUAUAGGUCGAGAAAAUACUUCUGUGUCAUUUUCUUUUUUUUGGCCAUGCCCCCCCCCCCCAUGCAGAAAUUCCUGGACCAGGGAUUGAACCCCAGUUACAGCAGCAACCAAAGUCACUGCAGUGACACUUGCUGGAUCCUUAGCCCACUGAACCACAAGAGAUCUCCUGUGUCAUUUUUGGUACAACUAGAUUGUACUUAUCUCUCCAGUACAACACAUGAUCUCUGUUAAAGGGAAUGGGGUUCAAGGACACCAGCAUGUGGUACCUGAUGCCUGGGUGUAAGAGGAAAGGAAGAUUAACCCCAGGUAGACCUGUUCACGUGUCUCUUUCUCGACAAUGAGAAAAUGACGCCUUGUUUGGCUAGAGAAUGAGGAUAACUUCUCCCCCUUACCAGCCAAGAGACCUCUUGCGAUCAGUGAGAAUCCAAGGCAAGAGUUAGUCUAGUCCCAGUCAAGUAGCAUGGGCUUUCUCAUCAACUUUGGGCUUCAAUAUAUCUAUUGCUACAUCUGUUUGUUUAAUCCCUUCCUGCAGGGUUGAAGGAAGCGGUACAUCUCAUCUCAAAGUUAAAGCCUACACCUGUGCCCUCCAUCCCACACACACUUUUUUUUUCUUGCUUUUCAAAUAUUUUCCAUUCCCCUGGUCUCUUCUUCCUCUUUAUUUACCUCUCUAAAUAGUUGCAACAUAAAUAAAACCUCCCUAAUUUAUCCUAUUUUGAGUGUUCCAGCUGUUUUUUUUU